rnacentral:rRNA from 1 species
GACGAACGCUGGCGGCGUGCCUAAUACAUGCAAGUAGAACGCUGAAGGAGGAGCUUGCUUCUCUGGAUGAGUUGCGAACGGGUGAGUAACGCGUAGGUAACCUGCCUGGUAGCGGGGGAUAACUAUUGGAAACGAUAGCUAAUACCGCAUAAUAGUAGAUGUUGCAUGACAUUUGCUUAAAAGGUGCAAUUGCAUCACUACCAGAUGGACCUGCGUUGUAUUAGCUAGUUGGUGGGGUAACGGCUCACCAAGGCGACGAUACAUAGCCGACCUGAGAGGGUGAUCGGCCACACUGGGACUGAGACACGGCCCAGACUCCUACGGGAGGCAGCAGUAGGGAAUCUUCGGCAAUGGACGGAAGUCUGACCGAGCAACGCCGCGUGAGUGAAGAAGGUUUUCGGAUCGUUAUGCUCUGUUGUAAGAGAAGAACGAGCGUGAGAGUGGAAAGUUCACACUGUGACGGUAUCUUGCCAGAAAGGGACGGCUAACUACGUGC